UGUUGAAAAGCUGAAACAACAUGGGUUCACGAAUCUAAUCUUACGAUCUCAUGCUGAGCUUGAUCUCACUCGCCAAGCUGAUGUCGAAGCCUUCUUUGCCUCCGAAAAGCCAGAGUUUGUCAUAGUAGCUGCAGCCAAAGUUGGUGGCAUCCAUGCCAACAACACCUACCCAGCUGAUUUCAUUGGCAUCAACCUCCAAAUUCAGACCAACAUCAUCGAUUCUGCUUAUCGCAAUGGCACCAAGAAGCUCUUGUUUUUGGGUUCCUCUUGCAUAUACCCUAAGUUUGCACCUCAGCCGAUCCCAGAAGAUGCUUUGCUUACUGGUACCUUAGAGCCCACAAAUGAAUGGUACGCGAUUGCCAAGAUUGCGGGGAUCAAAAUGUGUCAAGCUUACCGAAUUCAGUACAAGUGGGAUGCAAUCUCAGGAAUGCCGACAAACCUAUAUGGACCAAACGACAAUUUCCAUCCCGAGAAUUCUCAUGUUUUACCUGCAUUGAUGAGAAGGUUUCAUGAGGCAAAGGUGAAAGGUCUUAAGGAGGUGGUGGUAUGGGGUACAGGGAGUCCACUGAGGGAGUUUUUGCACGUUGACGAUCUUGCGGAUGCUGUCGUGUUUAUGAUGGAGAAGUACAGCGGACUUGAGCAUUUGAAUGUUGGGAGUGGGAAGGAGGUUACUAUUAAGGAGUUGGCUGAGCUGGUGAAGGAAGUGGUGGGAUUUGAAGGGGAUCUUAUUUGGGAUACAACUAAACCUGACGGAACUCCGAGAAAACUUAUGGAUAGUUCAAAGCUUGCAGGGUUGGGUUGGACACCGAAAAUCUCACUCAAGGAUGGUCUUGUUGAUACCUACAAAUGGUACUCGGAGAAUGUCAAGCAAUGAUUCGUCUGGUUAAGCAGAAUGUGUCAUAUGAAAUCUAUAGGUUCUUGUCAUUUCACUAUGAAGAAAAUUUUAUAAAAUAAUUAUCCAGACAAUACAGUAUUUGACCAAUUUUUGUGUACCGUUUGUACGGAAUGAGGAUUAUAUUACUAUUUGGGUUUUCUCUUGAGAUCACGAGAAUCAAAUACUAUUAUUUAUCAGAAACUCUGAACAAAAACUUGUUAUUUGGUUAUCAUUUUCACUGUAUUCCAUUUCCAGCAAGUACAUUCUAUUCAUCAUCAUGAUCUCUUUCACUUCUCUUUACCUCACUCUAUCAUAUAAUUGCACUCUAUAAAUACUGAUUUGAGCAUCUGAUUCCAGUUUAUCACACAAAUCGUGCGAUUUGAACCACAAUUUGAUGCAGAAUCCAUGGCCAGCGAUGCAGAUCGCAAGCAGAAUCGCUUUAGAGUUGUGUGUUGUAUCGCAUGAAUGAGCCUCGAUUUUUAAAUUGUGACUGAAGUCAUGAAUCCUGCAAUUCAGAGAGUGCCAGUGGGGCUGCUUAAUGCUUAUGAUAUCUUUGGGGCAAUGAAAAUCUUCCAAAUUUUGGAUUAUACUUAUGGUGAGAGUCUAUAAUUAAAAAAAUGUGGCAAUCCAAAUGUGGCAACCCAAAUGUGUUGCAUCUUUUGUAUGUGACACUAAGCAUAUCUUAUUUUUACUACAUUGAAAGAACACUAAGCAUUGAUAUCUGUUUUUAGUUAAUGAAUUUGACUUUUAUGAAAGUUAUCAAAUAAAGUUAGCAAAUAAAGCAUCUUCUGAUAAACAAUUUGAAUAAGUACUUGUUUCGGUUUGGUUCUCUUUACUUGAGCCCUUGUUUAUGAUUACCUGGUGCUGCAUAAAUCUUGAUGAAUUAUACAUGUUGACCCAUUUGUUUUUCACUUCCUAAAGUCCUAAAGCCUUAAUGUGAAGCAGAGAAUGUGGAGAUGAAUUAGCAACAACAUCUUCUUAUUUACAAAACUGUGGCCAAGCUUGAAGUGUUAGCUAUGUUAUGGACUCAAAUAUAUGGAAAGAACAAAUUAAUAGAGUGUAGCAAUUAAGUGCCAAAAUAGAUUUCACAUUAGUGAAAUUAGUGUCAAUGUGGCUAUAAUCUCACAAAAAUAUGUUUAUGGCAUGAGAGAAUUCAUGGCUGCAAAAGUGCAAAAUAUUUGAAUUUAAGAAUAUUUAGCUAGAAGGUGAUGCAAAAGAAGUGAUGAAGAUCUAUCUUUUAACAGUAGAUUAUUAAUGUAAUUAUUUUAUGUUUAAGAUGUGAGCCCAAUGAAGCUCAAUGUGCAUCAAUAAGUCAUAAAAGGUCUCGGAGACCCAAUGACCAGCAAAGAAGAUACAACAAGUACUUGAUCACAUGGUUGGAAUUCUAAUGGAGGCAAGUUCAAAAAUGACAAGAAUUCAAAUUGACAAAUUGUAUCACCCAAAUAAAUGGUCCAAAUAAAAGUAAUCUGUUUGGAGAAUGAAGAUGGUGUGGAUUUGUGAAUCAAGCUAAGUCAUUAAGUUUUCAUUCAAUAAGUAAAGUUGUGUAAGUGAAAAGUUCUUGGUUGAAUCAAGAUUAAGUUCUUAUCAAGAAUCCUAUAAUUCUUGUAGUAAAUAUCAAUUAGGCUUAUCAAACAAUUCUUUAUUUGUGGCAUCAUCCAUUCCACAUAUUUUCCAUAUUGUUAGGUUCUAAUAUUCCCACAACACUCAACAAAAUUUCAAUAAAAAGGAUGAAACCCAAUAUCAUCAAUUUACUUGAUUUAAAUCUAAUUUACGUAUCAAUUCAUUCACAAAAAACAAAACAUAAUAAUAACAUAAAAAUGACUAGCAGGAACCAGCACUUGUACUAGAUUCUGUAUAAUCUACAAUGUAACUUACAUCCUGUCUUUAGUUAAUGAUGUAAAAAAAACUGAUGAUCUCGAUAUUUGGCUAGAAGAUCCAUCUCUUUGUGUCUCUAAAUUAUCGACGUUAUGUUUAACUAAAAAAUAUAUGCACUAACAGUAUAAAAUAUUUAUACACUAUCAAUGUAUUACUUGCUAUUCAUUUUUAUCAUUGUUGAAUAUUCACAAAAAUAAUAUGAAUGAAUGGUUAAUAAUAUAUUGACUAUAUAAAUCUUUAUACCAAUAAUGUAGAUAUGUCACACUCAUAAUAAAUGAGUUAGCAAUGAAUUUAAAAAAAAAAAAAACUUGCAAAAGUAUCUCUUCGAUCACGGACAAAAACAAAGACUGUUAUUUAGUAAUGUACCACCCGAAUUAACUUAUGGGAUUCGAAUAGCCCGACUAUAACCUUUUUAAUAUCUUUUUUUUUGUUUUGAAGUGGAAAAUUGAUCUAUAAUCAGUGUCACAUUUUUAGUUUAAAUAAUGAAACAUUAUAAUCAAACGAUUCACUAUUAGUUCCAUUUUUACAAAAAUAUGAACACAAUUUAUUUAAUCCAAAUCAAAUGGAACCAAUCAAUUUUAAAUCUAGAAUUAAAUAGUCUUAAUUCUCUAUUACAUACAAGGAUGCGGAGGAGUAAGAUCAAUUAUUGGCAGAUAAAAAACUAAAAAAAAACUUUUUUAUUUUAAUAGACUUUUAUAAAUAAAUUAAGAGUGUAAAAGUCCAUGCAAUUAGUAAAGAUAUCGUUUUAUUAUAGGCAGAUGAGGUGCUAAUACCUUCACCGAUCCAUAAUCAACUCCCAAAAUUAGGUCACCAAAUCUUUUGGGAGAAUUAUAUGUUUUAACUACAAAAACACAGUGACAACUUCAAAUCUUUUGGGAGAGAUCAGAAUUGAGUUCAACCUCGUCCAUAGUUGUGUAAUCUUUGUUCAACAAAAAAUUGUAACACAACAUGGUUGAGAGAGUAGUCCAAGCAAUGUUGUUUAUUUCUUUUCCCUACAAAUUAAGAAGUGAUCACAACAAUUAGUAUCUUUAAUCUCUUAAAAGUUGAGAGGGGGCAUUGCUCUAUAAAUGCUUCUUCAUUAAAACAAAUCAAAUGGUUAAAGAACUUUCUAUCGAAAGGGCUUCUUAGUCUUGAUUUUUCUAUUGUGUUUUGGGGAUAUGGAAGAGAAAGAUAAACAAUUGUAAGACACAAAAAUAAUUAAAAAAACUAUUUUUUCUUUUCCCUUUAUUAAUGAAAAAGGGUAUAAUCAACGAGUUUCAGGUAUACAUAAGUCUAAGUGAUUAGUUAAUGUAUAGUCUUAGUACAAGUUGAUAAUAUACUAAUAUCUUCGUCGAUCCAUAAUCGACUCUCAAUCUUUAUAAAUUUAACUCAUAAACUAACACUUUUAGAGAAUGUUGGCCACUCCAUAUAAAAAGAAACAUUUUCUAUUUCGUAGCGAAAAAUGGGGUCCCCAUAAGUACUUUAACAUCAUUUUUUCUCAAUAUGGAUUAUUGUUGCUUGCAACAAUUCUAAAUGACACGAAAUAAUACUUACUGGCUGAGUCACGACCAAAUCACUCUCUUUAAGACAUUUCAUGGCACUGCCCAAAAUGUGCAAGCAGACUAUCAGCCAUGCCGUCCCUAGGAUAAAACAACUCAGAUCUUUGUUAUCGAAUUCUGACUGUACUGUAAGAACCAAUCUCAAAUACACCACCACAAUAUGGCUACCAAUGCCAAUUCCCAAAAUUCCUACAAUAUGACUACUAAUGUCAAUUCUCGAAAUUCCCACAAUAUGGCUACCCAUGACAAUUCUUUUCCUACAAUAAUAACUAACCGUAUCAGUUCUCGAAAUUCCCACAAUUUGACUACCUGUGCCAAUUCUUAGUACCACAGAAAGAAAUAGGGAGAUUUUGUCGGAAAUGUGUCAGCAUAAAAUAUGAGGGAGAAAUAAAAAGUUGAAUGAAAGUGCAUUCAACUUGGGGGAAGAAAAUAUGAAGAAGGAAACUUCUAUUUAUAACAUGAGAUUUUUUCCAAGUUUCUCAUCUCUCCUAAGAGGGACUUAGGAGUUGUUUCUUCAAAACUCUUAUGUGCGAGACUUGUGAGUUUUUUAGAUUUCGCACCCAAAAGUUCCCACUAAUGGCUUCCAACAAAUCAAGUUCCAACAAUCCUCCACUUGAAAUUAAAAAAACGAUUUCCGAGAAUUUUUGUGGUCUGAAUAAGAUUGUGCAUAAACAAAGGUGUCAUGUGACUUGAACCAUUAUAUACUGAGUAAGAUCCAGAUUUUACUAGAGUGACUCGUAAUCUUGAACUCUAUCUCUGACAUCAAACCACACACAACCUUUUUAAAUGUUUAUUCUUUAAAGCUCGCACAUCUAUUUAGUAUAGUUAAAGCUCUAGAAAUUUUGUGCCCCUAAAUUUCAUAGGAAGAGACCCCCAUUUCUUCAUUCAUAUAGGUGAUUCUAUCAAGAAUACUCUUGUAGCCUAGGUACUCCACUCCAAUUGGAGUAUAAAUAUCAUUAAGAGUUUAACUUAUCCUUACAUAUACUGUAGGAAUCAUGCUUCUCAUAAUCUUAUAACAUGUUCAUUCUCAUAUCACUUUACAACUUGUUAUUACCCAUUGAAUCUAUUUCUUGGGAUCUCGAGUCAGUUAGGCCAGGUUACCAUCAUGAGUGAUCCUCGUUCUAAGGGCAAUAGUCUCAUACUCUUAGAAGUAUUACGAACUUUCUCUCUAGCUAGUCCUUUUGUCAAAGGAUCUGCUAAGUUAUUCUCAGUGCGUACAAGAUCCACUCUAACAACUCCUUUAAAGAUCAACUCUCUAAUGGUGAUGUGCUUACAACAUAUCUGUCCUUUCUUACCAUUAUAAAAGUGGUUCUCAAUCUUUUCAAUAGUCACGGUACUAUCAUAAUGGAUCAACACAGCUGAUAUCGGUUUUUCUCAUCGGGGAAUCUUUGCAAGCAAGCUUCUCAACCAAUUUACUUCUUCACUAGCUGUUGCUAGUGCUAUCAUCUCAACUUACAUAGUGGAUUGAGCUAAAAUAGUAUGUUUCUUGUUAGACUCUAGAUAGUGAAUCUCAUCAUUUAUGUUUCUUGCCACAAAUCAGCAUCCAAAGAAGUCAAAACUUCUUGGAGAGUUGAUGAAUUCUCCUCCAAUAUAUAGACUAUAUAAUUAGGUCUAUAAUCUAUAGCAAUUAUUGCUCUCUUACUUCUUCUAGGUUCUAUUUCAAACCUUUCAUUUUUUAUCAUUAUCUCUAUUCACAGGUAUGUGACUAGUUGAUGUGCCCCCACUAUUCCUCAAUUUAAAAGAAAAUUUAUUUUUCAUUUAAAUCAACAUCGUUUAGACUCAAUGAUCACUUUUGCAUUAAGAUCAUAAAACAUGUGCGUCUUGUUGUUUAUAAUAUACCCAACGAAUAUACAUUCAUAGGCUCUAUGAGUUUAACUCUCUAGGGGCAUACCAUGAGAAAUGAUUUCAAUGAGCAUAUUCUAUGUAUCUCAUAGAAUUGAGACUCUACUGAUUUAUCAUCAGUCAUUUGAUACUUGAGGUAAUGGCUAACAACAUACUUUUUAGUCUAAACUUCCUCAAUAUAAUAUUUCUUUUCAAGUGCAUACCAAAUUAAUUUGGCAAACUUGUAUGAGCUGUAGUAAUUAUAGAGAUCAUUUAACAACCCAUUCAGAAUGAAAUUCUUACAAAGGUAAUCAUUUUCAUUCCAAAGAGCUAUAUUAAUAGCUAGUUUAUCCCUUCCUUUUUAUCAGCUUUUUUCGGCAGCACUAGGUCAUCGGUUUUUAGAAUGUGUGCAACUUUUCUCACAGUGAGGAAAAAUUUCAUCUUAUGUUGUCACCGUUUGAAGUUAGUCUCAUCAAACCGAAAUUGUUUUUUAAGGUCAAAGAUAUUCGUUAUAGUAAUAUUAUCUAAGACUGUUAUAUGGCUACCAAUGUCAAUUCUCAAAAUUCCCACAAUAUGGCUACCAAUACUAAUUUUCAAAAUUCGCACAAUAUAGCGACCCUUGUCAAUUAUUUUCACACAAUACUGACUACUAUUGUCAGUUCUCGAAAUUCCCAUAAUUUGAUUGUCUGUGCCAAUUCUUAGUGCCAUGGAAAAAAGAGGGAGAAGUUUGCCGGAAAUGUGUCGACGGAAAAUAUGAGGGAGAAAGAAUAAGUUGAAUGAAAGAGCAUUCAACUUGAGGCAAGAAAAUAUGAAGGAAGGAAACUUCUAUUUAUAACAUGAGAUUUUUUCCAAGUUCCUCAUCUCUCCUAUGUAGAACUUGAGAGUUUUUUAGAUUUCACACCCAAAAGUUCUCACUAAUGGCUUCUAAUAAACCAAGUUCCAACAUGGAUUUACUUUUCCUAAAUAUUGUUCACUUAUAAUUCCUAUUCACUUCUUAAUUGUAGUUGUAUUUUCCUCCUCUUGCCCUUUGUUCCUUGCCUAGUAACCACUUGCAAUCGCUAAUCACAUUUUCCUCAUUGAUUUAAUGUCAAAAUUAUGUAUUGUCUUUCUACCAUUAGUUUAUCCACUUUAUCACUCAUCAUCAUCUUCUGGCUAUUCUUCUUGUUAGAGGACAAAACUGAAACGGGUAGACAAGUGAAAUCAAGUUGAAAGAUAAGAAGUCUUUAUUUCAUGUUUGUAAUUCUUUCAAGUGUAUGAGAAGCAUAUAUAUAUAUAUAUAUAUAUAUAUAACCAUAAUAUUUGGGUCUAAUAAUAUUAAAGUAUGAGAUUCUCGUAUUGAAUUUUGUUAGGUUUAUUUAAGUGUAAAGUUUCACAUUGGAUAUGAAAUGAGGAGUGAAAAAGUUUAUAGGUGGAAAAGGCCCGUUGAAUUAUGGCCUUAAGGUUUUGGUUUAAGCAUUUGUGUCUCACUUGUGACUCAUCACUCUUCCCAUGCCCCAAUAACAAUGGAAUUCCCCGAUAGUUAGAGGUUCCUUGGUCGCGACUGAGUCAAACAAGUGGUAUCAGAACUGAUGGUUCAUCUCAGACAUGGUGAGCUUAAGGGGGAGCAGACCUAUAAGUGUAUGAUAUCCACACUUGAGGGGAAGAUUGUGGGAUUUAUUCAAGUGUGAAGUCUUUUAUUGGAUAUGAGGGAAGGAGUGAAAGAGUUUAUAAGUGGAAAAAAGGCCCAUGAGAUUAUUAUCUUAAAGUUUUGGUUCAAGAUGUAAUGUCUCACUUGUAAUUCUUCACUCUUCCCAUGUUCCACUAAUAGUGAAAUUCUCUUGUGGUUAGAGACUCUCCCAUUAUGGUCGGGUCCAACAAAUUUAAUUAGAAUACUUGCUAUAUUUCUUGUUCUUAUAAUCUUGUUUGACUUAAUCACCAUGAUGAAAAUGAGGCUUGUGAUUUUUUUAGAAUGUAAGUACAACGUGGGUUCCAAUAUCUUGAUCUUUGGAACAUGCCAUUCCCCCAUUAUGGAGAAUGGAUACCUUAUUAUUGAACAUGGAUCUUCUAUAUUAUUGGAAAGAUAAUUGUAUAAUUCUUUAUUUAUUUUUAAUGGUAAAAAUAUAAUUUUAUUGUAAUUAAAAAAGAUAAAUAUGUUAUUGCAAGUUGUAUUUUCCUUUAUUUUCUAAAACAUUUGUCUCUCCGUUAAUGGAUAAGAUCAUAAUUUCUUAUUUCUAUAUGUGUUUUUUUCAUAAGGUAAUCCAAUCCACUACUCUACUUAUUAUUUAGCCUUAUACUCUUUUUCCCACAUAAGUUAGGAUUUCACAUAUAUAAUUACUUGAAUUUAGGAAUGAGGGCAAGAUAGGUCUUAAGUUAGUUUUGAUUUCCCCCACAACCCUACCAAGGAUGGAGAAUGGAUAACUUACCUAUCACUAUAAGGGAUCUUGAGAACCCAUUCCUCAUCAUGUCUCAUCUCCUCAAUUUAAGCAAGUUUAAAGCCCCAAUUUCAUCCAUCUGAUUAAGCCGAACAAGAUAGAUUAAAGAAGGACAAAAAAUAUAGGACGUGUUCUACCUAAAUUCAAUUAUUCUACAAUAUUAUUAGACACAAUAAACAAGAAACGCUUUGGUUAGAUGUACCACUAGAAGAAAAUCCUGAAAUAUGGUAGAGAUGCUUGAAGGGAAAUACAAUCAAGAAAUAAACCCUAUCUUUUUUGGCUUGGUUUCACCGGUCUUGCCUUUUCUGUUGUGCCCUAUGACAAUUAAGUGAUAAAAAACAAUGCAUGGUAGAAAGACAAGACAUAAUCCUAGCCUUAAAUCAAAGAGAAAAUAUUGAUAAGUGAUUGGAAGUUGUAAUGAUCAAACAAUAAAGACGAAGUUUAUUCAAGUGUGAAGUCCAAAUUGGAUAUGUAGAGAGAAAAAAGACUCAUAGAACCAUUGCAUUAAGGUUUUAAUUCUCUCCACUUUCCUAUAAUUCGGUAACAAUGAAAUUCUUCUCUAUGUUGUAUAGAGAUCCACUCUUCCUAUAAUUCGGCGACAAUGGAAUUCUUCUCUAUGUUGUAUAGAGAAAAGACAAAUCAACUAAGAGAUAGAAAUAGAGAAAAGACAAAUGAACUAAAAGAGAUAAAUACUAUUCCUAUUUAUAAGGUAAUAGGUAAUGAUUUUGGAUGGGGAUCACCUAUCCCAGCUUGUCCCAAAUCAUACCCUCUCUAAUUAAAACUUGACACGUCAAUUACAUGUACUAACUCAUUUUAUUAGGAAAUUGUCACAAUUUGCUUACUAUUCCAUUUUUACCCUUUCCCUCUCCUCGUCCAAACUCAAUGGUGGGGAAAACCAAAUCUACUGUUACUCAAAGGAAAACCAAAUCUAUUGUCUAAAACUCCAUUCUCACAAGUUGCUAUCAAGGAAGUUUUAAAUCCAAAAUCUAACAGUGAUAUCUGGUUGCAAUCACAAUAAUCCACAACUCAUUAUACAAUAUUUUUUCCAACGUGGUUUUACUCAUUUCUUUCUUUUAAAAAAUCCCCUUUUUAGUUCUCUCGUUUUCCAUUAGAUUUCACUUUGCUUCACGCCACCCUAUUCCACCACCGCCGCCGGCAAAUUUCACUAGACUUAUCCACACCCGCUCUCAAGUCUGUUAUGGGAAGAAGAAAAAAAGCAAAUAAAAGAAAAGGGAUGAAGAGGUUUUAGUUUUUGGGCAACAGUAAAAACAAAAUGGAAGAGGAAGGGGUAAAAUUACUGCAUUGAGUUUGGAUGAGGAGGGGGAAAUGGUAAAAAUGAAACAAUCCAUCCAAUAAUUUUUAUGAUAGUAUAACUUUCAAGUUGUAUUUUCUGAUUGCUAAGAAGUAUGCUUUUUAUUUGGAAUUUCAACCCAAGUAAACACCCAAUUUUGUCCUACCUUUACUUUUAUCGUUGGUGCAAAAUUCAAUAAAAAAAAAAUAAAAAACAUCAUUUCAUAAUUGGCAAGAACGUUUUGAUAAUUAAGUUGCAGAUUAAUAUUGUUGGGUAAUGCCCAAAAAUCAACUAUGUCUUCUAAAUUAUUUUAGAUACAACACCCAAUUUUUCGCUUCAAUUAGAACAUGGUUUGACGUCUUGAUGCAGUGAGUAAAGUUAGUAUAAAUGAUUUAACAUAAGUGGUUGAUUGGAACACAAAAAGCAUCACCCUACACUAAGUAUUCGUGUUGAUGACAAAGGCUUAAUAUCUAUCUAUGAUUAUUUCCCCAAGGGCAACUUAGAGGAACACUAAUCAAUUUUAGCAAAGCAAGUGAGAUACAGAUCAAGAAGUGGAGCCAUUUAACUCUUCUGCUUCUUCUUCUUAUACUUUCUUUUAUCCUGUACCCAUUACCAUCAUCAUCAUCUUCAAUAUUCAAGCAUAGAUUAAUAAAAAACAGAACCAUCUUCAACAAAACAAGCAUGAACAAAAUAUCAUACAAAACCAAAUACUUUCAACAAAGUCUUCCAACUUUCCCUCAACGUUACCUACUCCACCCAGAUUACUAGGAUCCUUCUUCAGCGGGUCCCAUCUUCUAUUGUGGCAAUAAAGGUGACAUCCACAAACGUGUAAUUUGCAUACAUAAGAUCAAGAUGAGGUUCAAUAUCCAUCAUCAUAUACACAAAGGAGCUACAUAUAAAUUGGUUAUUUACUCUCAGAUAUUUAGUACAUUCAAAAGUUUCUAUGAGCAUAAUUAUCACAAGACGAGGAACUCAAGUCACUUCGACAUGGUGUGCGGAUGCCCAUCACUGUGGCUAUUGAUCAAUUCAGCCACCCAAUCCUAGCCACCGCAAAAAGGGAAUGGCAAUCAUAUCAUUGACGUUGGAAAUAAGAGGAUAUAGUGAAAUUCCAAGUCAAAAAGAGAUUGAAUAUCAAGGCUUAUAAAAUUGCAGAAAAGUUACAAAUAAGCUAAAAGGCAACCAUCAUGAAGUGAGCAGAAUAAAAUUAGAAAAGUGAUUCAACCAUGGAUUAUCAAUAGACAGAAAUUCAAAAGUAGCAGCAGAGGAGAUGUAUCAGAAAUAUCUACCUAUUAAGCUAUCUCAAUUUCAGAUACACAUCAUCAUUAUCAGCAUAAAAUAGAGCAUUCAUGGGCAGCCUUAAAUCAGAGUAAAAAAGGGGCAAGCUGAAGCAAUUAAGCAGGCCAAUAAAUAUCCAGUCUCAGUUGUGAAUCAGCAAAUGAGGAGUAUAAUAAAGCAGAAAGGAAACAGAAGUAUACAAAUCAAAGACCAAUCCCCUCAGUUACAGAAUUCAAUAGGCUAAAUGUAAAGGGCAGGUGAACCAAAUUUCUGUUACGUAUUCAGAGUCAUUCAGGCAACUUUAAUACAGUAAUCAGUAUGCAAUAAUCAGCAGGAACAAGCAAGCAGUUUAAUAACACAAGAGUCAUGGCUAUUGGUAACCCAAGAGAUCCAGCUAAUCAGCUAUAAAAGGCAUACAACCACAACCAAAGGGGGGAUACACCACGAUACAGAAAUCAGAGAGAGAGGAUUUCAGAGAAAAGGGCAGAAAUAUAGAUAAAGAGUGACAUUCGAAUAGAUUCAAUAUCAUACCAGUUCCAAGGAGCAAUCACUAUACACAUAUCUAAACAAAAGCAAUCUGAAUAUAGAGCUAUACAUCACAGGCGCCAUAAACCAAGAAGGCAGAGCAACACAAACUGAAAACAGUAAGCAAAAAGAAAUCACAGAGAGGUAUCAACAACCGGAAGACCAAGUUGGCGAUAGAGAACGGUGUGGAUAAUCUUGAAACACAGAAACAGAACGAGAAAUCAGGAACAGGAGAUUGGCUUUUACACAACAAAGGCUAAAGGUAUACCUCCAGGUAAUCCAUUUAUUCCUCUCAUUCAAGCAAUUAUAAACAGAAAAUGUUCUUCUUCAUCAUGUGUUCGGAGCAUCAAACUAGAUACAUAUGUUCAUCUAAACAGUUGUAAACAAGUAGCCCUCACUCUAAUUUAUGUCAUAUAUAUCAAAUGAAAUGCAUACAGUGACUGAAACGUCUUGAAAGACAUUUCUAUGUUCUUUACAAGCCUACAACCAUGAAAUAAACUCAGAACUUUGCUAAAAAAUGGCUAGAAUGUCAGAUUCAAACAUAAGACAUAUUCACUCGGCUUCAACAGGGAUAAAUAUCCAUAAACAAGAAAUAGAUAGUAUAACACGAUAGCAUAAUUUCGGAUAAAUGCUUGCCGAGAUUAGUCACACUUAAUCAUCCAAUCUCAAGCCAAAAGAAUAAAAUAGAAAAGGAGCAGGGUUAGUUACUAGACCCAUUGCGUUGAUGCCGAUUCCGAAUCCCUAUCUCGUCUCGGUGACCACCGCGAGAACAAGGGAAUCAUAAAAGAAAAAUAAAAGAAGGAUAUGGUACCUUACGGGUUCUCCUCGCCUCCAUCCACCAUGAUAAACGGUGGUUCCCACCGUGGCUGCCGCCUUCAUCAAUCGAAGCCCUCACCGAAGAGGAAGGGAUGGAGGAGGUGAUUGUCCAUUCUUCAAGCCGCCAUCAUGAUCCUCACCUCCGCUGGAGAAUCACUCACCAUUGCCGCCUCUCACCGCCGUUAAUCACCUCUCACCGCCGUUAAUAACCUCUCUCCACUACCAUCGUGAAAGAAGCCAAGGGGGGAGAGGAUGAAAGAGGUAUAGUGUGUUAGGGAAAAUCCCUUUUGGGACUUUAGGUUCUAAACAACCCGUAUGCCCCCACCCCACUUAUUUUUGUUAUGUUUAUUAGUGUUGCUUUUUAUUUGUGUAUUAU
rnacentral:lncRNA from 1 species